rnacentral:rRNA from 1 species
AUGAUUAUUGUGCUAUGCAACUUCCAUUCGCGAGGGGGGGGGGCUGUGUUUACACAUCAUACCAUGGGUUUCAUGAAUCACCAUAUCCAGAGAUUCGUCGACACAGCUUGCUGCCAGAAUUACCGACGCAAGUCGAAGAAGGAUUGGCCGGUGCUGCCGGCUGGCGUCAAGUUCGAUCCCAUGGAUCAGGAGCUGAUCGAGCACCUUGAGGCCAAAGUGAGUGUUGACAGCGCGAGAUUUCAGUCUCUCAUCGAUUUGUUCAUACCAACCAUCGACAGCGAGCACAUCAUAUGCUACACCCAACCUGAGAAACUUCCAGCAAAAAAGGUUCUGGUGCUGCACACCAACAAGAACUUCGACCAGCAGAGGACCAACCGGGUGAUGCACCAGUACCACCUCGGGGACCUGGAGCAAGAGAAGGAGCGGGAACUGGUCGAGCAAGUUUCAACUGGGCUGCAGACUGCCCAGGGUUGGUUUUGUUUUUAA